UUAUGUUUGAUGCUAGGUUUUUUAAAUUUAUGUUAUGAAGCAUUAGUUUGUGUGAUCUACAUACUUAUAAGGUUAGCUUUUUACUAUUACAUAGUUUUUUUAUCUUUAAAUUGAUUAAUAAACAUUAUUUGAUCUAUUUAUGCUUAUUAUUUAGUUGUGUAUCUUAGUUUUACUUAUAUUUAUCAAUAUGUAGUCAUUUUACGAACUUAGUGAAUUUUUCAAAAAAAUUUGCAUAACGCCAGGCCGUUACCAUUACGUUACAGCCAUUAUAGGCCUGUUUCUAUUACCCGCGACCACUACUGCAAACGCGUCUACGAUUUGAAACCAUGGGGAGGAGUGAGAAGCAAAACAAUUUGGAGGGAGACAAGAGAAGAGAGGUGAGAGAGCAUAACUCAAUGAUGAGAGAGGGAGAGAGAGAGAG
rnacentral:misc_RNA from 1 species